GACAGAGGGUGCAAACGUUGCUCGGAAUCACUGGGCGUAAAGGGCGUGUAGGCGGGCAUGCAAGUCAGGCGUGAAAUCCCUGGGCUCAACCCAGGAAUUGCACUGAAACUGCAUGUCUUGAGUAUCGGAGAGGAAAGGCGGAAUUCCUGGUGUAGAGGUGAAAUUCGUAGAUAUCAGGAGGAACACCGGUGGCGAAGGCGGCUUCUGGACGAUAACUGACGCUGAGACGCGAAAGCGUGGGGAGCAAACAGG
rnacentral:rRNA from 1 species